rnacentral:lncRNA from 1 species
GCUAGUGUUCCUUUGUGCCAGAGCCAUCCCAGCUGAUCUGCCCAGCCAGCGAACCUGGCCCGAGCAAGCUACGCACGCGCUCGUCGUCAAGUCUAUACCUGACGCACAGGGUCUGGUGGUCAGCGACAUGUGGAUAGAGGGAUAGAGAUGGAGACUAACGAGUUGCCCGAGUUGGCUGGUCGUUGUCAACCUCCAGCCAGGGAGGUGGCGGCGCUCACCGACGAUGCUUCAGGGCACGACGAGGAGAGGUGGGUGUAGGAAUUUGCUCAGGAGGUGGCCUCCGUUUUUGUUCAGUUUGAGGAAGGUGCUGGGGUGGCCGGAGUUACCGGCGAUGAAGGGGCCGCGGUGGAGGAGAAUCAGGCGAGCUCCAAGCCAACGUUUCCUUUAGUAAUCCACGUGGGAGAGAGGGGGGAAACAUGAGGGAGGCAAAGGAAGCCAGUAGGAGAAGAAAGGAGGGCCGGAGAGCGGCUGUACACGGAGAUCGAUGGUGGCCC